rnacentral:rRNA from 1 species
AUGGCUUACUAUUCAGAUCAUCAGGCUUAUGCGAGCAACACUGCAAACAGCACGGAAAGUAUUCAAGAACUGAUAAGUAAGAUUUCCCAUCAAUUAGAUGAUUUAGCUCAGCAGAGAGGAGUAGUUUUUGAGGAUAGGCCUAGUUCUUAUUAUCCUUAUUCCGGAGGCAAUCCUUAUGUUGCUCCUACAUGCCAUAUUUGUGGAUUUCAGGGCCAUUCGCCCGCUGAAUGUCAGCGUGGUUACUCUCACACUCCAGAUUGUUUUGGCAUGAGCUUCGCUCAAGAGCAUAGCUCAUACCAAAACAAUUACUCACAUGGGUGGCCUGAAAACCCGAAUAUGUCAUAUAGGAGCAACAACCCUGAGAUCUCAUCGUUUGCUUCUAGUAAUCAUAUGCAGGGAUUUAGGUAUGAAGAGGAGAGCCACAACCAUGCACCACAACAGUUUUUUUCACCUCCUACUCAUAUACCUCAAUACCAGGAGAUGUGUCCAAUGGAGUUAAAUGGUCCUCCAUUUGGUCAACCAACAACUCCAGCACCUGUUGAGCAAUCUCAUGUGCAAGUGCCCACACAAGAUGAGUUCGAUGACAUAGACAAGCUCACAUUGCUUAGUCUCGAGUUCACUUGGAGUGCUGAAGAUGAUCCAAUUAGGCCGGUGAUACUAGAUGAAAUGAAGAAGAUCAAGAGUGGAAAGGAACUAGUGGAAGAAGUAAGGAAGAUUGAGAAGAACAUCAAUGCUGGCAGCACUAUUUCUUCACAGCUAGAGCUGAGUAUUUCUGGGAUAUCCUUUGAUACAUGUGAGGUUCCAACACCGUCACAUCCAGCUGAGCAAGAUAGCAAGAGUCCAGAGGAAGAGAGACCUCAGAUUGAAGAUGAACUAGAAGACAAGGAACAAGAUGAUCAAGAGCUGCAAUUUCCAUGUGAUCAAGUUGAAGACUCAUCAUCUACUACUCCUGAAGAAGUACAAGAAGCUGCUGUAGAUGAAGAUGAAGAACCUAAGAUUCAUUGGCCUAUUGUCAUACAUGAGCGUGAUGUGUCAGGUUUACCCAAUCCUCUUGAUGACAUGAUGCCUUGUGAUUUCUUUGCUACUACCUUGCAUUACAUGAUACCAUCACUUAAGAUUGAUUUGAAAACUCAUUUGCUUGGAUAUGAUGAUAUAUACCCUGUUAGUGGCAUUACUCUCAUUUGUGAUGAUCAUAGUUACUUUCCUCGUGCUAGUCCUAUGCUUAAUGAAACAUAUCAUUCCCAUGCUAGUCUUGAGCUUAAUGAUAAAUAUCAUCCUCAUGUUAGUGUUGACCUUGCUGAUUUCUACCAUCCUAAACAUGUGCUUUAUAGCUAUGCUUAUGUAAUUGGAUAUCCGAUUGAUGACUUGGAGGGUAUUAUCCCUACCACUUGCAUUGUCUCUUUGGUUGAGUGCUCUUUCAGGCUGUUGCUUGUGCACGAUCCACUACAUGCUGACCAAGUUCGAGAUGACAUUCCCUGGGACCCCGGUGGACCUAUGGCAUGGGGAUGA